GGGGAGGUGGUGAUGCAGUCAGACGAAGUGGGCACCUUGGAAAAUAUGGAGACUACAGAUGUGGCUCAGGAGGAGGAGGAGACACAGUCUGAAGAAGUAACAACAACAGUGAUCAGAAACAACGAGAUCAACUUCUUCAAAUAAACAGAGAAAUAACUUAAAG